ensembl:lncRNA
CUUUCUUAAACGAAAAGUAUAUUUUUCACAUAAAAAACAAACAAGACACUUUUGUUAUAUACAGCUUAUUAAAUUAAAUUCUGGGAUCCAUUUCUUUGAUAAAAAGCUUACAUGUACAUUUCAGGGAGAUAACAGGCACAAUAAAACAAACAGACAUUUAGGUAAUUUAAGUAUCGUACAACAUUUUAAACAUCUUAAAAGACUUGAUGUACCACAAAUUAUAGUUAAGUGAUUAUCAUUAAUGAUAUAAUAAUAUACUUCAUCAUUUAAAUGUACAGUAUGUUAAAGUUGCACAACAAUGUAAGAACAGUUACCGAUGUAGAAGUUCUUUGUAUCUGUGCAUUUACAGAAUACUUUGGCUGUUUUUGAAACAAUUUACAUUACAAUUACAUAGGAGUUUAUACCCCUCUGUCUUGCUCCCGUAGGUUAAGGAGGCCCUCGACCGGUAUGUAGAACAGAUCUGUUCAAAAGCUAUCACUUAUCUUUUAAACAUGUUCUGUUUUUAUUGAUCAUACAGGUCCUGAUCCCUCUCGCAUAAACCUUGAAUGAUAUUAUCUUACUAAUGGAAUACAAACCACAAUAACUGUGAGUAAAGCAAAGCACCUCUCCUUGUUUCUCUGGGCCUACUCUCAUCCAGAAGCGACUCCUUCAGCCCUUGCACCAUUGUUCUUUCCCUACCCAUAUGCCUAAUUAGAUGCCUUUGAUAAAGUAUGAGCAGAGACAGGAACCGGGUUGGUGUGAAUCCUCUAAUGCACCCUCCAGUGGCUCUCACAUUGAUCCCUUUCUCUGUGAAGCUGCCAUGCCUCAGCGUGGCCUAUCAUAAAAGACAACAGUGCCUGGAUGGAAUAAGAAUUCAAAAAGAAGGUUGAGGUUGUUUUAUUUUAGUACAUGCCAACGCCUGACAGCCGUACGGCUGUCAUACUAAUGCAAUCUAAUUGAAAGCCAAACAGAUCUAUAACAUGGUUUAAGCCACAAGUGUCAAACUCACGGCCUGCGGGCCAAAUCCGGCCCGCCGGAUGACUUUGUUAUUGUGAGAAUUACAGAAGGACAAAAAUUGCAUUUCGAUAAAAGUAGCUGCUAUUCGUAAAAGGUCCACUGGGUCGCACUCUGUGAGUGAGCGCAUGCGUUAGACCAGGAGGACCAGGUCGAUCACCAACGCAGUGGUGGUAGAUCACCUUACAUUGGAAAAAAAAUAAAAAUCACGUCAGGUCACUUCUGACAGUCUAGAGGCUCGUUGUUGUUUUUUGUAUCGAUUCCCGGUAUGCAGCACUGUUUGGUUACCGAUACUGCUCGUAAUUAUUAUUAUUCGGGCAAACUGGACAAGCAGGUGAUGACGACGGACAAAUUUGAUCAAUUAAUCAGUCAAUUAUUAAUCAAUUAUUGAAAUGAAAGGUAGGUCUUAAGUUGAGCUACAUGACAGUCUGGUAAGGUGAAUAAUUUUGCGGAUGGGUGCCCUUUUGCUUUGGUUUGUGCAGCUGCCUCCUAAAAUGUCUGUGCACGUGCCUGCCAGGCAGAAACGGAACCGCUUGAAAAUGACUGUGUCCUCCCCCCUGUCGACCAUCCGCGCGGCACCCCCUCGGACCAUCUGAGCGCCAACCCCACCCCCCACCCUAUGAUGUCCCCCCAGAUACUGCCCACUUGAGAUCAAAGUGGGCAGCAUCUGGCCCGAGCCUAAAAUGAGUUUGACACCCCUGGUUUAAGCAGCUAAACAUGAGCCCUCCUGGGUGCUGUUUAUAUAACACACAAGAUUGAUAUGCUUACUAUAUAUUUAACCUGAUCCAGUGACAUCAAUUUUCCAAGACAGGUCUUGGAAGGUACAUGAGUUACGUUUUAAUUUCCCCAAGUAAUUUGCGGCCUGUGCAAUAGUGGGGUGGAGGGCAUGUUUUUUUGCAGGGUGGGCGAAGCAGGCCUGCAGUGGUGAUUGUGGAUUGCCUUGUACGAGCCUUAAAUACCAGUGCCGUCACUGGGCUGUAGCCAUUGUAGCUUCUCUGUGUGCAGACUCUGGGCUCAGCAUUUCAAACAGUUCAUCAUGUCAUUUUGUUGUAUCCAUUAGGAAAAUGUCAGACUUUUAGACAGGUUUCAAUUUUAAAAGUCAGAGGGUGCCCCCUUUAAACUGUAGUAUUCCCGGAGGCUCAAUCCCAAGCCGCAGUGUAUUCUAUGCUUUUAUACUCAAGUCAUCCAAUUAUUGAAGAAAGACUGGGUAUGCUUUUCACUGUGGCUUUUGGUUAAAAUUAUUAACUGGAAUUAUAUGUUCAAUGGAGAUUAAAUAGUUUUAGUCAAAUCCAUACUAUUGGCAACUGGCACAAAAUAUACAUGUACAGCACACAUAUAAAUGCAGUGUUUCUUUGUGAACCUUUAAAUUAAGUAGAAAACUCUUAGCUAUGAAAUGUUUUCUCCAAAUAAAAAGUUUGAGAGGUUAAAGGAUGAGAUAAAAAAAGCAUCAAGAUUUUGACCUCAGGAAUAUCGCAAAAGGGUCAAAACGUUGUCAUUAACACUGUUGCAUGGAUCAGUGUGCAAGCAUUACCUUCUUCUUAAUUAUUUGUUUCUGUUCUGGCUCUCUUCCUUCAGGUCCAGUAAGCAGCAGUUUACAAGUAUACAAUAUAAAAUAACACGCAAACACAUGCGCACACACACACACACACACACACACCCUCCACAUGCAUUAAUGUAUUUUGGAUUAGAUAUUAUUUUUUUGUUUAGCUAUUAGGACUUUUUUUAUUAAAAAGUAUUAUUGAUUAGUUUUCUUGGAAGUAAAUGAUGUUACUCUUUUUAAGGAGCAGUUUUCUGUAAUGUGGUUGAACUUGAACCUUCAAUUUCUUGCUUUUAACGAGUGAAUAUCAACUAUGAGACUUUAUUUAUCGUUUGGUUAUCAGUUCCUUUUCAGGGCGGUUCCCUGUUUUUAUGUAUUUUGUGAAUGCUAGUGUCGGUUGAGUCGAUUGAUCAGAGUAGCUACCUAUAGGAAAAGGGAGAAUGGGAGCUUGUAUGUUCAUGAUAACCUAAUGAAGAGACGUUUAACCACCUAAACAUGUACUGUAUUACAAGGUAACACAAUGCAUGUAUUGUAUUUUGUUACCUUUUCUGGCACCAGUAUGUUGUACUUUAUUUGACAUUCUUUUGAGGGGGAUUUUGUACUUCAUUAUUAAAAUACAUAUAUGUAGUUUCUCCCAUCCCUCCCAGUGCGAUGGUAUCCCUUUCACGAUUGUAAUCUAACCAUGGAUUGCAGACUUAUGUGAUAUAAGGCCAGAGGUCCUACAGAGCCAACAAGUCUGUAGAUGACGCAAUAAACAUGACCCUUCAUUUUAUUCUACAGCACUCAUCCCUUCCCUGCUGCAGGACAAACCCGCCCAGCUGCAUGUGCCUGACUCCACCUGCUAGUGGAUCACAGACUUCCUGUCCAAUAGGAAGCUGCAUGUCAAGCUGGGGAAACAUGUCUCAGCCUCCAGGACCAUCAGCACCGGUUCCCCCUAAGGCUGCGUUCUUUCCCCUCUGCUCUUCUCCCUGUACACCAACAGCUGCACCUCCAAUCACCAGUCCGUCAAGCUCCUGAAGUUUGCGGAUGACACCACCCUCAUUGGACUGAUCUCUGGUGGGGACGAGUCCGCCUACAGGUUGAUUGAGAUUUCCCAACUAGUGACGUGGUGCAGCAAAAACAACUAAGGUGUUGUGAAUUAAUCUUUAAAUUUCCUGUUGUAGAAAAAUUACAUUAGAUUUAAUUUCAGAUGUGAUCACACACACACCUUAACCCCCGUCACCACUGUGGAGUCCUUCCGUUUCCUGGACUUCAUCAUAUCGCAGGACCUCAAGUGGAACCCCUACAGUUUGCCUACAGAGCUGUCUGUAGACGAUGCUGCCAACAUGGCCCUCUAAUUCAUCCUCCAGCAUCUGGACUCCUCAGGAACCUAUGCACGGAUCCUGCUUGUGGACUUCAGCGCUGCUUUCAACACCAUCAACCUUUCGCUGCUGCGGGAAAAAAGCUCUCUCAGCUGCACGUUUUUAAAAGAUUCAUGUUCUCAGCUAUUUCCAUCAUUCAAUUGUUAUUAGGCCGGACAGUGUGGAGCCGUAAGUCACCAGGCCUUCAAGUGAUUCAAUUACCAGGAGUACGAAACAGUUGAACACUAUGAAGUCCACAUUAGGUAGGUUAAUCCCCUAAAUAUUCCCAUCACCAACACAACUUUAGAUACACCUCCACAUCUGCUGAGACAGAAAGGGUCCAGACGAGCUGCGCCACAAGACAGAAAUUUGGGUUGAUACUGGAAUUUCACUCAGUCAGAUAAAAUAAACCAGUCGAGCCUCGGAUGCUGGAUAAAUAAGCAUUGCAGUCUUGCUUUGGGGAAACCAGCGCUUUCCAUCUCAAUGAUGUAACUGAUUGUUCCUUUUCCCCACUGAUUAAAAGGAGGUUAAAAUAUACAUGGGUUAUUACAUUCUACUGGAAAAAUACCCCUAAUCCUUGAAAAAUAAUCAGCAAAAUUAUUUAGAUUGGCAAAGACUCACACAAACCGGAAAAUGGUAGAGGCUCUGCUCCUUUUGGUGUGGAAAAACACUGGUCCUGAGAGGCCUAAACUGUAAAGCAAAAACUUCCUUUUUCACUACAUUAAAAUAGGGUUUUCUAGAAAUUACUGCACUGUUAUUAAAAUCCAGUAAGAGCUUUUGUCUGUGUAACUGUUUCUGUGACAAAUGAAAUCAUCAUUGUCUUACAAGUCACAGGAGAAACAUUUAACAGUUCUCUAAAUCCUGAGAAAGCAGAAUGUAGGUUCAGGUAAGUACAGAACAUGAUAUACCUUCAUUCUGUAUCUAUAAGCAAAACAUUGAAAAUAUAUUAAAUAUGAAUAUUAUGUGAAUGUAAUAAAAAAGGAUAUUUGUUUGUUGAUUUUAAAAAUGAAAAUAGCCUUAAAUUACGAUAGAGCCAUUUAAAUAAUUGUGUUAAAUGUGUAUUAAUUUGGUCUGUUGCAGUUAACAAGGUAAAACCUAAGACGAUUCAGGUGGCUUUUAAUGAUGGUUUUAGAAUCUUGCUCAAGCUCCCAAGACAGUUGGGUGAAGGUCAGGUCAUAUUUUUGUGACUUCUGAUGUUUCCAGCUUUCAUACUGUGUGAAGGAAUUUUAUUUACAGAGUCAAAUGUCGAUUAAAUAAUUCACACAAUGUAAUGGCAUAAAAGCCUUAACUGAUCGAUACCAGGUAUUCCUAUUGUUUUUGACAUUGGACAUCUGUAUGUCUUUUCUUGCAUUUAGUUUUGUUGUAUUUGUCUUUUUAGUGUUGUAUUAUGACUGAUGUGUCCCUAAAUAAAGUUGAACAUAAUUAAAAUAUACGAUGAGUGGCCAUGGUAGGACAAUCAAACAAGUGUAUAAGAUGGGUUUGGUGUGAAUGUCUUUUAUAAUUUAAAUUCCCUUAUUUGGUUGAUAAAUAAUAUGAACAGGCAAUGUUUUACAUUUAUCUCAAAAUGAAUUUGCUUUUGAAAAAUGUUUGUAUAUAAAAGCAAUUAUCAGGGUUGUUUUGUCCAGAUAAAAAAAAGAAAAAGAUAAGUUCAAAUGAUCGUUUUUGUUCCACUUGUAAAGUAGCAGCAAUCAUUGUCUUGUAGAAAAUGGUGGUAUUUUCCCAAUUUCAUUAACUGGUAUCAAUAGUUACUUGCGCAUUGUUUAAAAAUAAAAAAGAGACCCGUGCACACACAGAAAAACUAUUAUUGUCUUGUCUACUAAAGUUCACAGCCAGUGCCAACCGCCAGUGUCUCCUUUCAUCUUCCCCACAGUGAGAUGAAGCGAGGAUGAGAUGAGAUGAGAAAGAGCGAGCGAUGAAAAGAGCUGCAGAGUUUGCCUGAAAAGACACUUAAGAGGUAUUCCUUCUCACAUUAGGUCUUAGGCAGAAGAACACUUAUUUGCUCAUUUUGCUAUAUCUAUUAAUGGAGUCCUUUAAAGAGGCACAACAUUACAGACCAGAAUAGAGAGUGUUCACAAAUUAACACUGUUCGUCAAACAAGAUAAAGGAAAGAAACUGUUGACAAUUUAGAAACAGUCUUAAUCUAACCUUCAUGCAGCUUCAUGCCAUUUGAGGGGACAGUGUGUAGGAAAUAGCAAUGUUGCAGAUGACAACCAGCCCAGCCCCAUUAUUACGCUACUUUAGAAGUAAUAGAGGUCAAAUUGUGGCUGGCGGUACCAUAGUUCUACAUUCUGUUGUUGCCAUGGAUUCACAAGCAUGUCAUAGAAUGAGGUGGCCUUAUGAUGAUGUCUAAACAUGAAAGACUCUUCUGGGCUACUGAUAUCCAUAUAGAUACUGAUUCCAAGCUUUCAGUUUCAGGUGAUAAUACUCAAAAAAUGCUUCACUCUAUUAGAGGUCAUUAUGGUAUCUUAAUCAUCAGAAACACCUGCUGGUGGAUUGUAUUGUCUCAUUCAUCAAGAUCUCUCAAUAAAAAGGCAUGGGAAAAUGCAGUUUUAUUAACAGAGAACUGAUAGCCGAGCAAAUUUUACAAGUCAAUAACUUGAAUGAAAGUCUUGUACACUAUGCUCACUUGCAGGCCCCUAAUAGCUGGGUGGGUUAUGGACAGCUGUCAAUGAAUCGCAAUGUCAAACAGGCUGAAAAAGUUGUUGGCACGUUCUUGAGCAUUCAGCAACAAACUAGCACCCAAAAUAUUAUGCACUCUUGGUGCAACAUAACACCAAAUUAGCCAUGGGCAGACACUGAGAUUCAUACAAACAGCCACAAACCCAACAUUUCAUAAGAAAUAUCUCUAUUGAACUAAAGAGGGUUGUUUUCCAAAUAAUGCUUGUCCACAAACACGUUACAUUUCAGGGAAUUUAUUAUCGUUCACCAUGAACCUUUUCAGUCUAUUGUACUGUUAAUACAAAGCACUCCUCUAAGGUCAGGCCUGCCGCCUCUACAGAUAAAAAUCCCUAUUUUCUGGACAAGAUGCUUUUAGAUAAAAGUGACUGAAAAAUGUCUUUAUUAGUUUCAUUUAUUUUAGAUUUAAAAAGGUUAAGGAAAUCGGGACCAGCACAAGCUCUACAGGCAAAGACGAAGAAUACUACACCCUGUACGUGUUCUCCAUCAGCUACUCCAGGCCCAUUAAGGACCGACACGACCGUCAUUUCCGGCGUACAGGCAUUGGACAGCUCGAUAAACACCAUGAGGCUGGCCUCCAACAUCUGAGAAACGCAAAGCCUAUUCCUUCCACAUCAACCACCAUCACAGCCGCCCGGGAUAUCCACGCAGGUCAAAGUAACGCAGCAUUCACUGGAAUCGGCAGUCCCUGGUCUUCCACUGGGUAGGCCAUGCAUAUAAUGAGCAGCUAACAUAUCGGCACGCUCAGAAUGAGAGAAGAAGUCAUUUUGCUAUGCACAGCAUUGCAUGAGGAAGCGUGUUCCCGUGCUGCUAGCUGGACUUCUUUGUCCUAACAGCCACAACCAAUCCUGUGGCAGAGCGUCAGACCUCAGUGCAUUCAUUGGAAUAAAAUCUCUACAACAGUGGUGUGUUCUGAUACUGCAACGUCGAGACAGAUGCAGGGGGGUUUCUGUCAAAGCCAGAUCCUGGCCUCUUUUCUUCUGCUUAUUCCAUUCAGUGCAACAAUCAAGCGGCGCCAUUAAUAUCAACUUAGGGUUACACGUUUUGGUUAUAUAUAUAUAUAUAUAACAUACAUACAUACAUACACAUAUAUAUAUAUAUAUAUAUAUAUAAUAUAAUAUAUAUGUGUGUAUGUAUGUAUAUAAUUAUAUACACACAAACACACACACAGUACUUCCAUUAGUAUUAUUUUUACUUUUGUCUUAAUCCUUUUAGCCAUGUGAAACAGAGAGGAGUUAAGUAGUAGGAUAAGAAUAAUGCGAUUCAACACAUCUUUCAGAACUAUGAUUAAUCACAGCAUUUAUUUAACUUUGUCCUGCAUCAUACAGCUGGUGACACAGGCAUUUAUGAUAUAAAGCUCAGUUUCUACAGAGACAUUCAACACAUUGGACAGGGGGCCAUCUGGGUCUGCUAGACUUCCAACUUCCUGCUGAGUUAGUGCGCGUUCCAGCUGAACUUCAAAUAAAAUGAGUGAAUAAAUCCAUCCUGAUUUGCGUGCUGCUAUGCUUCGUGUUACUGGAGACUCCACAGUUGCUGUGGUGACUGGUUUCCCUCAAUCCAUUGUGGGACUGGUUUCCCUCGGUGCGUAGUCGUGGCAGGUCUAGCCAUCCUGGAUAACCUGAAGGUGUUUCUGUACGUGGACCAGCACCAGUGCAGAGCAUCAAGACAUUUCGUGUUCAGGAUUGAGAAGGCCUUCUCCCUCACGGUGGGUAAAGAUGGUGUGGAAGAGAUAGUAUGGCGAAGGAUGGCGAAGUACGCCAUUAUAAACGUCUCUUCUAUUCUGAUGGGGAAAGAAUUGACUUAGUCUGCCUACAAUGUUUGUUACAAAUAUUUGUGUAAAUUGCUGAAUUAAUGUCGGUGAACAAAAAAAUUGAAUUUAUUUUAGUAUUUAUUUACACAUUUAUUUGUUUAUCCAAAAAUGUAAUUAAGUAUUCACUCUUACUCAUUUAUUUAUUUCUACUUCAUCAUUUUCUGUCCUCCAUAGGUUUUACUGUUGAUCUGCCAGCUUGGAAUCAAGUCUGAUUUUGCAGUCAAACAUGAUUAGUCAAGCUGACUUCAAUUCCUAUGUUGCGGUCUAAGAUUAUCGAUUCCCAGCAUCUCGGCUCGUCAUCCUACAAACGGAUGGAGUUCAGUAAUAAAUCAUUGUUAAAAAGUCUUUCCCGAUUGAAGAUUCCCUCUUAGUCCAUUUAUCCUAAUAAAGAAAGAAGAUUGACAUUAAAAGAGCACAGAAUAACCCCCACCCUAAACACAGGAAAGAUUAUACACAACAAGACAUUUACAGUACAAAGUCUGACUAUAUAGUGUGUGUGCCAGCUCCCUUUGUGCUUAUGCUAAUCAUUUUUGAUUGAGGUUUACAACCUUGUUUUAGGAUUCUGUCUCUGCCUGACCCCUUUUGUACUUCUGCCUUCCACCAUUUUUGUGUACCAAACCUUGUCUUGAGAAUUGUCGCAUUUCUGCAGAAUGUUCUACCUUUUGGCCGCUACGCUCUGAAGGAUUGUGAGUUCUCUAUAAAUGCCUACUGGCUGCCAGGAAGGCCGGUCUCCAUGACGAGGGUAAUUUUGGAUUACACAGUUAUAUGUAUGCAAGAGUGUGUGUGUCCCGAUGUGAAAGGGCAGUCAGUGUGGUGAAUCCCUGUCAUUUCCCGAGUCACAUUCUGCUUAACUCUGAGUGGGUCUUCCGGAUGGUGCUUCUAGCUGCAGUCACAAUGGGGGCAAAGAGGAUUAUGGUUUCCCCCACCGACAGUCAGUGUUUUUAAUUCACAGAACAAUAAAAAAAUGUGUUGGGUCACAAAAUCAGAUUAUUUACUUUACGUUAAUAGUACUGAAUAAUACUCCAUUUCUGGAGAUAACGCAUAUAUAAGAAGAGGACGUUUUUUCUCUCUCUCUCUGAGUGGAAGGACUGCUGAGUGAACGGAGCGUGAAGUGAAUUGUUUGAAUUGUGUUUUCUAUCUGUUAUUUCGUUUUAUUUUCGGUGUGGUUCUGGUGUGUGUUGUGGUGUGAAUGCGUGGUGGUGUGUAUGUGUGCCUUUUGUCUCUUUCUGUGUUAGUUUGUGCGUGUUUGUAGCCGAUCGGCAUGUCGAACCUCACGGGGCUGACGCAGAAGCACGGCUUGUGAAGCACGGGAAGGUGGUGUCCCAGUUAAAGAAGGUGUCCUCAGGGUGCGAUUCCCCUUUGCUGAGACAUGUGGUCUCCACAGACAGCUCCACAUGGUCCUCACCAAACCCCAGGCUCUCAGCCUGGUGAUCAAGGUGAGGAUCGAGGGGUUUGACUGUUUGCCACAUCGGAUGAUGGGAGGUGUUUCCGUUGUGGUGGAGCGGGACACCUGGCGAGGGUUUGUCCGGAGAAGAACCCCUCCACUCGGGACCAGAACCGGGGAGAGGCCAGAAAGGGAGAGGGGGGAGGUGAAGAUCAGCAGGUCGGUCUGGUGGGAGAGGAGAUGGGGGAGAUCCAGCAGGUGGGUGAAGAGCUGGAUGAGGGGGCGAGUGUGGGGAUGGGGAAGGCCCAGCUGGUCGGUCAGUCAGUGAGGUGGGUGAGGGGGUGAGUGCGGGAGUGACUGUGGGGACGGGUGAGGCCCAGCCGGUUGGUCAGGUGAGUGAGGGGGUGAGUGUAGGGAUGGGUGAGGCCCAGCCGGUCGGUCAGGUGAGUGAGGGGGUGAGUGUGGGGAUGGGUGAGGCCCAGCCGGUCGGUCAGGGGGGUGAGGGAAUGAGUGUGACAGAGUGAAAGAGGGGAUGGGGGUCCAACAGGAAGCUGAAGGAGCUCGGGGGGCGCUCGUUGGUGGGGGUGCGUUCCGAGGUGGAAUCUCGGACAGCGAGGAGGAUAUGGAGGAGGGGGGGGGUGGGCUUUAAGGUCCCCCACCUGAAGAGGAAGACGAGGGCCAGCAGGGGAGGCUCUCAGGCAAAAAGAGGAGGGGGGGGCGGCAAGCAGAGGGGAGGCGGGAGGUGGGGAGUCCUCCUCGGGGUGGGGCUCUGCCACCAGCAUCUCCUCCGGUGGGAUGGUCACCAGCAGAACGAGAGAAGAGUGAGGUUGGAGGAUUACUUCUCGCUCCGCUCGGCAUGGCAGCACCAAGAAGGGAGCUGGAGACUACACCCAGCAGGGGUGGCCCACUGAUAGAGGAGGAGAUGCUGGAGGACAACGGUGGAGUCCAGAUCGACCAAUUGAUUAUAUUAUAUUGAUCAUACUAUAUACAUUAUACUAUAUUAAUUAUACUAUAUAUGUUUUAUAUUAUAUACCUGCUAUAUUGUCUACUUAUUGAUAUUGUUUUACGUUAAAUAAAGGUAGGAGUGCUGAGUGAACGGAGCGUGAGGUGAAUUCUUUGACAGCGUUUUCUAUCUGUUAUUUCGUUUAUUUUCAGUGUAGUUCUGGUAUGUGUUGUGGUGUGUAUGUGUGACUUUCUUUCUUUCUGUGUGAGUUUGUUCAUGUUUGUAGCCAAUCAACAUGUCAGACCUCACGGGGCUGACGUCUCUCUCUCUGUCUGCGGACCGGCGGGGACCACCGCUUUGGAGGAUGUAGCACCCCUGCACCAGUUAUAUGCAAUGAGCUACUCUUUGUAUGAAAACCUAUGCAACUGACAUACUUCUAAGAGCUGAAGAAUUGGUGAUUGCACAUAUACAUUUUAUGUUUCUUGAUUUGUGUUAACAUUAGUCAUUUACAUUUAAAAAGUUGUAGAAAACUGUAGUCAACUUUAACAAAAUUUACCAAGAACAAAAAUUGUGGCUAAUGAAACUGCUGAGUGGCUAGUACCUUUGGAAAACCACUAGCUGUAGUGGCUGGUGAGCAGAAACGUUAAUGGAAAGCUCCGACUGGUUAUAUAAUGAUGAAAUGAUCUACUUUUAUCCGACAUAGAACUCUUCUCUGUUCUGGUCUUUUUGGACCUUGGUUCUACGUUUGAAACCAUUGAUCAUUGCAACCUUUUACAUUUCAACUCAAUUCAUUCCAUGUCUAACAUAUUUUGGCAAUAAAUGUUCCUGAUUCCAGAAAUUACAAAUUUGAUCAGAGGGCUUUACAGUCCAUACACAUGAGACACUCUCUGUCCCAAAACAGUCACAUUGGCACAAGAAAAACCUCUAAAAACAGGAAGAAACAAGGAGGACAUUUUAGAGAAAAAGGCAGAGGAGGGAUUCUCCCGGGUAGGAUAGAAUGCAAUGGAUAUCAUGUGUACGGAAUCAACACCGUAAACACAUGUAGAAUAUGUUCAAUUCCUACAAGAAAAAUAUUUCAAAUAUUGAAAGUAGAAAGACAGAUAUAUCAGAUGUAACCACCAUAAGAUAUGACCACCAGAUGUAACCACCAUCCGCAGAAACCUGUGAGGAGGGAAAGCACAAAGACGGCGAGGAAAGAAGAAGCAAAGUCAGUAACAUUAAUUAAUGAUGGUAGUAAUAGUAGUGCAAGUAAUAUUAAUGAUGAUAGUGAUAGCACAAGCAGGUAUCAGCAGGGCCAUGGCAGGAGGCAGGACCAGGGUCCAGAUAUGACAAUGAUCGAUGGAAAACCUGUGCUGCAGCAAAGCAAAAAGACUUCGGGGAAGAAGCUGAAGCUGAGGUAGUGAUGUGCAUUAAUGAGAUGUGAAUUCUUAUAGAAGCUGUGGGCAAGGAGACAGGAGAUUGACCAGGUUGACGAUCUGUGGAGAGAACAGUUCAGGAAAUAAAUUGCGUUUUGGUAUAGGUGUAGGGGCAUUAUUUUGGUUAAUAGCUAGUAGGAAAAUAAAUCAUUGACAUUAUUAGAAUUAUUAAUAAUUACUAAGAUAAUUAACAAAACAAAUACAUAAUGGGGCACAACCCUAAAAUGGGACGAAUAACCAAACCAUGAAUUAAUUCUCAUAAUCUAUAUUCACUCAUUAAGACAUUACAUGUCAUUUUGCUGGCGCUUUUAUCCAAAGUGACUUUCAUUGCAUUUUAACACAUCCCACACCGUGGGAGCAGUGUGGGCGCCCGGGGAGCAGUUAGCGGUUUGGGUGUCUUGCUCAGGAACACUUGGACAUGGGACAUUGAGCAGUAAAGGUUCGAAAUCUGCCAACUCUGUUAAUCCUCAAUACGCAUCGAUUUGGAGUUGGUCUAAAGGAUAUCGUUGCCUUAACCCAUCAUUGACGCAAGUCAAUUAAGAAAGAAAAUGUACUGGAGACAGAAAGGUUGGUUUGAAGAGAAACUACAGUCUUAACCUUACCUAGACACAAGUCGAUUCGGAAAGUUGGUUUGAAGGAGAUCUGUCAUCUUAAUAAAUCAUCAGCGCGAGUUGAUUCAGAAAUAGUUUUUAGAGGAGGAAUGUCUUCUCAACUCGGUCCAGAGCACAGGGAUCCCUGCGGUGUCUGUGGCUUUACCGAUCUCAGGGCUAAUCCAGCAAGAAGGAAAUCGCAGGUGUGAGGACAAAUUCCUUGCAGGGCUUCAACAUUUACGUUGUUCUUUCUGUAUGCAUCAAAUCUAUUGCAUUUUUUCCAUCUUGUCUUUAACAGAGGACUACACAGACUACUUAUAAAUGGAUUGUAUAUCUUGUUUCUAGUCUUCCGAACACUCAACGCUCUUUAAAACUACAUGUCACCAUUCACCAAUUCAUACCGACUCAUAUACUGAAUACAGUAGUCACAGCUACGGGAGCAAUUUUGGUGGUUAAGAGUCAAAGGACACAACGGCAUGAGCUAACAGAGCAGGGGAUCAAAGAGCCAAUCCUCCAAUUGUCACAAACAUAUUCAUCACUCAGGGGAUUGUGAUAUGCAUAAUCACUCUCAAAAGGGUCCGAUCAGACAGAAUAGAGACAGAGCCUGCAAUUAGAAACACCAAUGCAUCGAUUGCUUUAUAACAAGUAUAACAUUUAAAAAAUAUAUAUCACAUGAAUAAAAUUAGGAAAAAACUCACUUCGAAAAAUUAAACAACACUGCUAGCAAAGUAAAAAGUAAAGCUAAUCUGAACCCUGCUGAGGACUGAACAACCAAACUUGUCAGCCUAAAAACAUUUUGUUCGUUUCCGUCUGCACUAUUGUUUAGUCAGAUAACAACUUCCAAAUGAAAUAGGAAGUCAACCAAAAAUUACUUUUACUGUUUGUAUAAAAAGAACAACAAAUCAUAAUAUAUCCCUCCCAUCAGGGUCAGCUGCCCACAUUGUUUGGAAAACCUGAAAAUCCAGAAUGCUCAACUUUGGUGCAAGUUUUACUCGGAUAUUCUGUCCAAUAAACGAGUUGUUUAAACAUUCGGGUUCAUGUUAAAAUAACAGAAGUUGCGUUGAGUCACAUACGUAUUGAGCUUACAUUUUACAUUACGUUUUUCAUUUAGCUGACUACAAUAAGUGCAUUCGACCAAGAGGAUCAAGAAAGUACAAUUUCUUCAAGAAUGCCAAACUACUAAGAGCAGUGCUAAUAAAGUACAGUCCAGGUAUAGGCGGUAGAAGUUUUUUUUUAGUUUGUGUCGGAAGCUCUAUAGGCUCUUCUGGUGUCUUUAGGUCAUCGGUAUGAAUGUUUUGAAACAAAUUUAGGCCGCUAACCAGUGAAGGGAGGGGAGGUGAUCUCUGUGGCCGAAUUUAGGUUAAAGACCAGUCAAGCUGCUGCAUUCUGGAUACAAUAGUCAAGGUGUGAGAUAACACACAGACAAGAGCCUGUAACAGAAUGUGCGCCGCCUUCUGAGUGAGAAGGGGACGUUUUCUCUUAUUGUUGUGCAGCAUGUAUCUACAUGAUUGUGUUGUUGCUGCAAUGUUUGUAGUGAGGGAGUUGGAAGUUGACUGUUGAGUGUCCCGCUGAGGACUCCCGCAGAAGUGUUAGGGUCUGGACAAAGUUGUCAAAGGUCGGGUUGUUGAGAGAGCCUUUCUUGUCAAGGUUAAAUCUUCAGGCAGUGUGCGGCCAACCCACUGAGAGAUGUCAGUUCAGCAGGCAGAGAUUAUUGCUGCUACCUGUCUCAGAGGGAAAAAAACAAAGGAGUUGGGUGUCAUCAGUAUAGCUAUGGUGGGAGAAGCCAUGUGAGUUGAUGACAGAGCCGAGACAGUUGGUGUACAGAGAAGCCUUUGGGCACCCAGGACUCAGCCUUUGGGCACCCAUGUGGUGACAUAUACACAUAUAAUAAUUACACAGCAUUAUUUUUUGUUGGUAUGGCUAUGACCAGUGUAUGAAGACAGCCUGGACAAGUUGUAUACAUUUAACACAUUAUUACGGUUACACUGGUGUUUCCCUGAUGUCCAGGUGACCUAGUGGUAAAGUCAUGAAGGAUCUCACGUAUUUAAUUAACCGUCCCAUAUAUUAUUCUGUACUUUUGGGUGUUUUUCUGUUUUCAUGAUUUUGACAUUUUGACAUUUUUUAACAUUUCCCCGUGAACAAAGAUGAUGAGGUUUAAAAAGUGUACUUUAUAAUCUUUUGGCUUUAUUGAAGUUUGUCAGUUUUCACAAAAGAAACCACAGCUGUCUCGUUUGGGAAAUAUCUUUUCAUCCAAACUGCCCCCCAAAAACUGUGACUGCAUUCUAUCAUUAUGCCAUACUAUCGCCUCCGGUGUCAGCAGGCUGUAAAAUGGUAAUAAUUACUUUGUAAUGUUAAAGUAAAUUAGGUGUGGCUAUUAGCAUCACUUGCUAAUUAGACAUCCAGUGCAAAUAUUCUGUGUGCCAAUCUGCAAUCUGCCACCUACUGAGAAGUUCUUCUUUUAGCUUUUAGUGAGGCUGACAGGGAUUUUACUUGGCCAGAAUACAGAUUGCCCAUCUGUGGUAUGUCUAAUAAACCUAUUCUGGAAGUAAAAGUAGCCUCAGGACAACUAAUUCUUCCAUGUGGAUAUUCUCUGUGUGUGUUACAGACUGUGUAUAUAUUUAGCGCCCGUGACCUGUUUCUCAAUCUGUUUGUGUACUUUUUUGUUGUUGUUUCCUACUGUUGUGUAAUUACACACUACUGUACAUGCUGAACAACCAAACCAUCCCUGGAUACCGCACGGCACAUCUGGUUAGCAAGCCCUGUCCUCGGCCAGAGCCUCAGGGGUGGACUGUGGAGUUGGAUGAGGGAUGCAUUAUUGCUGGCCUGGGUUCAGCCAAGGCACCCCCACUAAGCCAACUCUUAUCACGGCCCGGAAAAUCCUGGACCACAAGGAUGAAUGUUAUUCAUCUUGACUUGAAAAUGUGUCUAAUGCGUCCCUCACAGGCUCUCUUGCCUCGAUAUAUUUGUGAUAUCUUUUAUUAAUGUAAUUGUUUUUACCCAUGAUUUACUUGACAAAGACAUUUGGAUGAGGUGUUUCCUGUGACCUAGGUAAUAAAGCUCUUUCUGAGAUAUUCAUAAGAAAGGGGAGCCACAGGAUCUGAAAUAUGAGGGAAGAAAUGGGAAGGGUGUGUGUGUGUGUGUGAAAUAAGAAGGGGGAGAUAUGAGUGAGGAAGGGGGGCUGAGCUAACAACCCUAAUCAGACCAUGUGUGGCCACAAACUGGCAGUUGCUAGGAGGCUGUGUUUUUACCAGGUGUUCCUAGUGUAGUAAAGCCUCUGUCUGUAGGUACAUCUAUAUAUGUGGAGGUAUGUGUGUAUUGGUUAGUUAGAUACAACUAAGAAAGCACUCAAUGCCACGGUUUGGGUUCACGUCUUGUUUUAUUUUGUAGUAGCAUCAUGUCUCCCUGGGUCCCGUCACUUCCUGCCUUGUCCUGUCAUUCCCCCCGUGAUUGUCUGUCGCAUCAAGAUUGUUUCCAGCUGUGUCCAAUCACCUGCACCUCCCUAGUGUAUUUAAACCAUGUGUGUCUAUUGUCACUUGUCGCGUCAUUGUUAAUUGUAUGGAAGCCCAUGGUCAUGGCUUAGUUCCUGUCUCCUGCUCCUCGACUGGGUUUUUGCCCCUUGGCUUUUUUGAGUUUGGAAUUUUUGACGAUUAAAGUCCCUUUUUCUUUUUGAAAAACUCUGCGUUUGAGUCCUGCCUUUAUCCCCAGCACCUUCUUGACACUCAAUCAUAAUCGCAGUCAUGGAACUUGGAAACUUAGUUUGUUCGCUCUGAAUAGAUACAAGCUCCAAAGGCCGGUCUCAUUUUUGGGGAUCGAUCUAUCAAACCAACAGAAUAUUACAGCAGAAAAUACUGUGGUAAUUACACAGCAUUUACCGGGCUCUGGGGCCUGAAAAUCUGCCCAAUAACAUAUUAUACCACAGAACCAUAUACACACUGCAUGUAGCGAAGCUCGGCAGGUCAUGAACAUACACUAUUAAAACUUUAAACUUCCUUAAACAAUACAGUAAACAUCAACACAAAAACAUCAACACAUGCUAACCUAACGUCUGCCCAGACAUCUAAGCCUUACUGGGCAUUGAUAGGGUUUGCUGUGUUUACUGCGUGACUUUCGUUUAACUCGACGUCCACGCCAUCCUUGUUGCAAGGAUUAAUUGGGGACCUUGGAAACCGUUGCGUUUCUUGAUGACGCAGUAGGUGUUCGCGCUCUCUAAGCUGGAGCAAAGGGGGUGGAAUAAGUUAUCUUCCUUUUUGAGCUGCUUGGGCCGAAAGUGAGGACUGAGGAAGCCGAAGCCUCUCGGGAGCAGUGAGAGGAUGGGUCUCACCGACGAGGGUUGGUCCGGGAAAUGUGGGGUUGGAUAGGGAAAGCUGGAGAGUCUGGAUCCCUGAUCCUAUCGGUCAACAAAGCCAAACCUGAAAGAAAGUUUACUGCAGACGCUGUCAUCUUAACCUGACCAUCAUGGGGCAUCAUCACCCACGUGAGUUGGUUCGGAAAGGUUGAUUUGAAGAGGACAGCUGAAUGGUGGCGGACUUGAAUCCUUAAUUCCAUUGUUUGACGCAGCCAAACUGUAAAGAACGUUUGUUGAAAAUACUAAAGACUUAAUCUUUCAAUGACCAGAGUCGAUUUGGAAGGGAAGAAUUCGUAGUUAUUUUUAACUCUGGCUUCUGGGGCUAUAUCACAAAGAGGGGGAGAAAUUGCACAUAGAUGCGAAGACCAAUUCCUUGAAGGGUUUCAUGUCCUGCAGCAGCAAGUCAUUCCAAAACUCUUUGUGUCGUGCCAUGGUACGGGCACACAGCUGGUAUCGCCGAGUGUAUUUAUAUUGCAUUCGAGUUUAAGUGCUUUCAGUGUUUUGUGGUGUACUGGGAGCAGAGCUGUUGUGCAGUCUGACAGCAGCAAAAAGGAAGUACGUGCAGUACCUUUCCUUCACACACCAGGAGGGGGGGGGGGGGGCUUAAGGAGCUGUACACAGCAGCCAUCCUCCUCCUGUGUGCCUCCACCUUGUGUGGUAUUGAAUGCACUGAGGAAGUCAAAUAAAAUGUCUCGCAGCCUUUUCCAGGUAAGGAAAAGUAUCUUUGUCGCAGGUAGAUAAGGGCGACAUCUACCCCGAUUCCAGCUGGGGAGGCGACCUGAAGUGGGUCCCAAGAGGAGCUCACCAGGGGGCGGAGGACCAGCCCCUCUAGGGGCUUUAUCAGGAGUAAAGGCUCUGGCAUGGUACUGCAGCUGCGGCUUUUUGCACAGUUCUCGUUUCAAUUCAUGGUUCUAAAAGGAGUAACGUUUUUUGACAACGACAACCUAGAGAAUGAUGUAUGUGGAAGUCGUUGGUUUGUUUAUUUACCCGGUCUUGCUAUCCACAUACACCUAGAAGGAUGGCAGAGGGCAACCCUACAAAGACAGUUAAUGGCGCUUUUCAUCUCCCAGGAUGGCAUCCGCGCAUCCUUGUGGUCCGCCAAUGAUGGGUCGUAUACUGCUCCUUUAACAUUUACAUCUGAUGCGGCUGCAGGAGCAGUAACAGUUGAUGGGCUCCUACUGAUUGGACAUCCUGAUUGGUAUCAAUGCCACAAGGUCCAACCACCAACACAUACAAAUGCACAGAGACACACACACACACAUUCCCUGCAGGAGGGAAUACAGCGCAAAUACGUUGGCAUGAUAACAAUUAAACAGCCCGCCUUUAUCAUCGCCGUUCAGAAAUCAAAGGACUUCACUUAAUAGAAAAACAACGAGAGAAUCACUGUUUUCACUUUGCACUGUCAAAUUAAUUUUCCUCCAUCCAUCUUCUAUACCACCUAUGCCCAGACGGUGUUGGUCCGCCCGGAGUCAAUCCCAGCUAACAUGGUUGCACAGUAGUUAACACUGUCACCUCACAGAUGGCUGGUUCAAACCUGUCGAGCAAUUUUUUGGGGUUGAGUUUGUUCCUGUGCCUUGCCUAAUCGGGUUACACAUUGAUUUCUCUAUCAUUCCCAUGGCAAAUAUGGACUGGUAGUCAUUUGAUCUAUGACAGCAGUGUUAAAUCAGUUUGAUCUCUUUAAUUAGCCCCCAACGUGGCGCCUAGACCACGCUGAGGAGCUCUGUCUUCCUUUGGCUCUGUCUGAUCUGUAAGUCUUGGCUCUAAUAACCCCAGAAGGAUACACCGAUAGCUUCAAAACACAUAUUUUAAGUGUAUUUACUUGCACCAGUAAUUAAUCUGAACUAAAAUAUAAGUCUACUUGGGCAAAACUGAGAUAAUUAUUUAGUCAAUACAUAAAGACAUCCUCGAAUGUGAAAAUGUAAAAUUGUGCCUGCUUUUAUUUUUCUUUGUAAAAACCUCAGUGCAACCAAAGGGCCUGUGAACAUUUUUUUCAGAAUAAUGUAUUUCCUGUUGUUCUGCAGUUUACACAGUUUGAGAUUCUUGCUUUUUUAUGUAAAGCCAAAUGCAAACUUUAUGAUCAUCAUAAGAGAAGCUCAUCCAUGUUGCUGUAGCAAUAGAGUUUCUGAGUGUGAGGUUUUUUGCAGUCGUAUUUCUCUCCCCUUAAUUUAAUCCUGUGGGUUGCAGGUGAUUGACAAGAAGCAGUGUGUAACAUAAUGUAGCACAAACAAAGAAAAACUGCACUCAACUUGAUCACAAUACAACAAUGCGGCCCAAACUAAUUAAAACAUUCAGAGUUAGUCUUAAGGAUUACUUGGCUCUGAGGAGAACAAGUCCUUGUGUUUCCAGCAGCUCAGACUGUGUGCAGACAGCAGAAGGAUUAGCUGAGAAAAGAGGGACAAUGGUUGAGAACACAUUGGUAUUUUCCUGCUCAUAUGUACAUAACAAAUCUGAAAUGUUUGCUGUCAAUGAUAACUAUUGGCAGCAAAUUGAUUCUGGUUAAAAUGUCAUUGUUGUUUUAGUGAAUUGACACUGUCCACACUGACCACUUAAAAUAACAUAAUCUUGAUUUAUGACUUGAUGUUAGGAUUUUACAUGAGAACCAGAGACAGCCAUCAUGAUACAGAUCUUGGAUCUGAAUCAGACUCACAAUAAAUGAGAAUAAGAGAGAAAAUUAAUAUAUUUAACCGGCACAGCUUUUCAGCCUUUCAGGUCUCCAGAGGUCUAAGAGACAUACAGACCCGUUAAGACACAUCAUGUGACAAUGCUAAGCCAGCCAAAUAUGUGUAUAAUAAUUAGCAUUGGGGGACUCAAGUAAGAUAAACUCACACAUGGCAGAUAGGGUGACAGAGACCAAACACUCAGACAGUAGUUCCAAAGUAUGUCUCAUUUUUUCUUUGCUCCACUACCAGAAAACAACAAUUCUUUUGAGCAAACAAACACACUCACCUCUGAAAUGAAGGCACAGAAAGUAAGUGAUCAAUAAAAAUAUGAUCAAUAUGAUCGGAAACGGAUUCAUUAAUUGAAUAACAACAAUGUAAACACAGAGAAAUAGAGCUGAAACAAGAGAUUUCCGUUCUCCUUUUAGAAGAUGAGAUUAUAAUAUUGUGACAUUUUUGGGAACAUCUUUUCGCAUUAAAAUGAAAGCUGUAGGACCAUUCUGGAAAAUUAAUUUCUCUGAAAUUAAGUUAUUUUUUAAUGUAUAUUUUUCAGUCAGAUACCGAUUUUUUUUUAAGCUUUCCUUGUGUUCUUGUUCUUAUUCAUCCGAUCCUCUGUUACAUGAAGACGUUAACAGCUACAGUACUUCAACAUAUGACCCCGCCAUCAUAGCACAAGUUAGGGAAUUCUGUUAAGGUUGUAACUUUCAAGUACUUUAUUCACAAUAAGUAAGACUUAUAGCUUGAGGAUAGGGGUCUUGGUCAGGGCCAGCUGGGGGUUGAACCCUGAACCCUGAGGACCCUCUCCACACUGUGCCUUUACUGAAGUUUACUUGGGACAGAAUCAUUGGCAUUGGCUUUUAUUCACUGUGACAUCACUUGAUGGGUGUGGCCAGAGGCACAACGUGCCGGAGCAGUGCAGCUUUGAACUCUUUUUUAAAAAGUGUUUGUAUUUGAUGUAAAGCUAAAUUGAGAUCCAGAAUUACAGAAUUUGAAUAUAAAAGUACACAUUAAUACAAAGAUAAUAUGAUUUACUUUAAAAUUACAAUGAACAUUUUUAAUUUUUAGUAUUGACAUAAAUUCUUAGAUAAUGAGCUAGAUAUUAAACUAACAGUUGGGAUGUUAAUUUACAGAUAAUUAGUUUUGAAUAUAAUUUAAAAAAAAACUGAAAAAAAUGGAGUUAUUUUCCGUAAAGAUAUAUGUAUUUUUAAGUCUACGUCAACCUGUUAAAUAUAGUUUGUGUUCAUGUUUUAAUAAGACAUGUUGUGUUUUCAGCUUGUUCUGUUGGACCAAGUGGCCACUUGUGUUCAUACAGCAUUAACCAAGUUCUUUUUAAUAUUGUUAUAUUCAGGAGGUCAAACGUACGUUACAGACAGAGUUACAAACAACCCUAUAGUAUUUUGUGGUUGCUGGAGGAUUUAAAAACAUCAUUUGGACAGGCUGGUAUAAUAACUUACACUGUGUUCCCAGUGAUGGGCCACCUUUUCAAAGGGGGUGAGCAUUUCUCAGCUGGAGGCCUUUGGUUUUUUGUGAAAAACAGCCAGUCUUUAAGUCCAGGCUAAAAUUGCACUAAGGGAGAGAAAAGUCUCAAACAACAGUGCUGUGCCGACUGAAUACUUUAUGACUCGCAGAAAGAGCAGCAGCAGCAGGUUCCCACCGCCAUAGUAACAACUGUGAAAAAUUAAAUUGCUCCUGCCUUUCCCCCUCAGUGUGGAGGAUUAGGGGCUGAGAGACAUACCAGGCUACCGGUGGUUACGCCUGGCUCUCAUAUGCCCCCAGUACAGGAGCCUUUCAAAGAGUGGUCAUUUUUAAUGGCUGACUUAUGCCCAUGCUGCCAUUUUAGUGACAUCUGCACAGCAAGCAGUGAUCUUCUGUACACUGCCUUCUCAUCCUACUCCUCUUUUGUUGUUUUCGCUUUCUUUCUCCGUCUGUUUUUAAAUCUAAUCAGAAUGACAUGUCUCACCUUUAUCAUCCCUCCUUUGUGCUACAUUUUAUUCCCCGUCGUUGGCUACAGGGAGCAAAGCGAGGUCGACCGCAUGUUCGUGUUGGUGUGGUGCCUCUCUAUCCCACUGCGGUAUUGAUGUGGCAUUAUGGGGCCGGGGACUCAAGAGGCUCAGAGAGAGACAGAGGAGUGAGAGGCUAAAGAGAUUUAUUGUUGGUGAAGUUUUCAGAGUGAAUGGUCCCUUUUCUGAGCCUUUUUUCUGAUUUCUACCUAAUUGGACUGGGUAACUGUGAAACGAUAUUAAAAGGUACUCUGUGUGUGUUUGUGUGUGUGUGUGUGUGUGUGUGUGUGUGUGUGUGUGUGUGUGUGUGUUGGAUAUUGCAGACAACAGCAUCCCUACUGGUCACUUCCAGAGCUGAGCUCUGCAGAUGAACGCAGUCGUCAUUCCCAUGAUGGUCAUACUAUUGGGUUGAAGUGAUGUGUCCCAGUUCCACUAUCCUGGUGUUUAUUCACAGACUGAUUGACAAGUUCAAGACUGUACAGGGUCCAUGAGGCCUCCCAGACACUGGUAAUUCUACGUCACGGAGACAUUUGUCAGAGGAGUGAGAGAAACUUUCUAUUUGGCUUAUUGACUUUCUGCUGUUUUUUAUUUUAUAUCAUUCAUGUAAUUUGUGUUUCACGUACGAAUGCUUUUUUUAUAUGAUUUCCACUCAUCAGAAAACAGAAAGUGGCUCUGCAGAGCAUGUGUAAAAGGCAAACAAAAUGAAGGUCACUCAGCAGAGCAUGUGUAAAUAGCAAAGUGAGCUUCUCUUUGCAACAUGUACACACAUAUUCUAUUCAUGGCUUGCCUGGGUUCAAAGUACUAACAAAAUGAAAUCACCCCAUUUUAUUGUGUUUUGAACCGUUUAAAAGGAUGCAAAAGCAACGUUUUAUGGUAUUAAGUAUUAAUGCAGAGUCUGUUGUAAUGCCUCUAUCUGCCGUCUCGCUCGCUGGAUUCAAAGAAAUAAAAUAAAAGUCACAGAUGGAAAAAUACAUCACAACAUUAGCAGGAUGUUGCUUUGCUUGUGUGCUAGAAAUGGAAAACACAUGAAAUCUCAGAGCAUGUUCCUCUAAUAGCUGCCCACAGUGGCUGUCUCCUGUGAAGUAAAUAACCCGGAAAUAAAAACUACCUAAAAAUACAGUUGUAGAAAUGUCCUAAGAGUUGUGCCAUUUUUCCAAAUGCACUGAUUUAUUAUUAAUAUCAGGGAGCAGAUGUAACCAGAGAGAAAGUAGUCGAAGAGGCAGCAGGAAUAUAUAUGUUCACUGUUAGUAUAAAGGAACUUUGUUUCAUUUUAAAAGUGUUUUAUUUUUUAAAAAGUUCUGGGAGAGGAACGUAAAUAUAAAAAAAUACCUCCAUGCUUAGUGAGAGAGCGAGACAUGUAGUGUUGAAGAGCUUUGAGACAGAGAUAGGAGAGGAUGUACAGUCCAUUCACCUUUUAUUCCUUAUUUCUUAAACCCUUAAACCCUUUCAUUAACAGUCACGUUUGUAAAGCUUGCUCUCAGGUCUCUCCCCAAUGUACGGCUCAAGGUUUUUAAGUAUUUCUAAACUUCAUUUGAAAAGCAGUCAAUCAGUAAAGUUCCACGGAAUUAAUUUAUUGACAACAGAACCUUUGCUGCCUCUUCCAGGUGUCCUUAUCUGCUCGCGACGCUUCCUGCACAGCUCCGUCUGAAGGCAAUGCGGCCUGCAGGCACAUGAGGCCUGUCGCUGAAUGCUAAUGUAGGUUCAUACAUAUGCAGUCUAUCAUAUUUCAAGUGCUGUGGCCGGAGUCUACAAAUCCCACUGACCAGGAGUGGAGAAUUCCAGUGAAAUGAGUCUCCAGCAGAUAACAAGAGGAGAGUCAUCUAUCGAACUGACACUGUAAACAUAACACUGGAAUUUGAAUUGAUGAUGACUCAAAAACUUGAUCGGUUGCAUAUAAGUUAAUAAUUAAGUUCAUAUAUUCUGUCAUUCUGUACAUACUUAGCAAUGAAAAACCAGGACUCUGAAUUUUUCUAUGAAAAAUUUAAACUAGAAAGCCAUCCGUGGAGAUCAUUUUAGUUUUAGUUUACUCUUUACUUACUCUCAAUGUAAUAAUAUGUAUUAUUGUGUUAAAGUUAAUACUGUUAGGAAAUGCUGGAGAAACGUAAGUGUAGUAAAACUUAAUUAAUGUAGCAGAAAUGUAUAAAAAUUAGUUUGAUAAAACUUUAUAUCAUGCAAAUGAUUAUAUUGGAUAUAUGGUAUGUAUAAUUUAAACAAUUUUAAAACAGUAUCAUGAUUUUACCGAAUGUAUUAUACAUAUUUAAUACAAUUACAUUUUAAAUUACUGAAAAACUAAAUUGUUGUAUAAUUAUAUAUAUAUGUAAUUUUCAAUUUUUUGGAAAUAUUUAAACUGUAAAUAUUUUUAAACAUAGAGAGAUUACAUUUUUCAUUAUGUUAUUUAUUAUUAAAAUCACAUCAGCAUUAACUUUACUCAGUACCAAUAUAUUAUUAUAGCUGGUGUUAGUUUUUGAAUAAUAAUCACAGUGAUUGAAUAGUUUAUUUGUCAUAUACUCAGUAAAAUAUGUAAUGGAAUGCUUUAUUUGUUCUGAAAUACUAGUGAUUCAAAAAACAUUACGAAAUGAAAAGGAUAUUAAUUUCAGAUGAAAAAGCUUCAGCCAAUAACACAACCCGAUCAAAUAUAUAUGGAGGGUUUUAAGAAACAAACUGAUGAAUUGAUUAACUAAAAAUGACACGAUUAGAGAGAGAUGGCCGAGUUCUUUAAGGUAACACUUUCAUCCCAAAUGAAAUCGUGCGAUUGGUUUAGCACAGCGCUCAGUUGUUGAGCUCUGCGAAGCUUUAUUCCACUCCACUGCUGUAGUCACUGUGCUCAAUCCCUGCCGUCGGCCACCACUGUGCCCGGUUGCUUCGUUCAAGGGUCAGAGUGCUGGGAUUAACUGAGAGAAAAAGAAGUGGAGGGAAAACUGCUUGUAACCACCCGUACCCCCCUCCCUCCAUCCCCCCGUCGCCCCUCCACCUCACCAACGGCCUCCAUCUAUAAACUCGUGCCAUCUGUUGCCUCGUGUUAAACCCUGCUUAAGAGAAACAGACCUAAAAGUCCCAAUCAAGAGCGCUGUGAAGCUCCACUGUGGGGUUAGGGCGCCACCACCAGCUCUGGCCGGGGCCGACACGGCUCGGUCGCUGACGACUACUCCACUGAUCUGAGGGCCGUGACUUUAAUUCAAAGAAACUUUGGGACGCAGGGUAGUUGAAACACAUUCAUGACAACAUUUAAGAACUAUGAAAAUAGAACUUUGGACGAGAUUUUAAUCAGUGUAAAAGUCUUUCGGGUUGCAGUAUAAUUCGUUUUUCUUAAAAGAAUAUGCCACAUAAAUGUAUGUCGUACUCCUCCCUUUUUCUUCCAUUGUAACUUUGCUCUGGGGCAAAAAGAGAAAAAGCAGGUCAAAGAGAAAGAGGAUGGAUGGACAAAAAGAAAAAUCCACACUGCAUCCAUUUGCAAACAUAAACGCAGUGUUCGGGAGCUUGGAAGGGUACGAGGGGAAUUGGGGGACGGGGAGGGGGGAGCGACGAAAAAAUCAUGUGACUGUUCGGGGGGUGAGGAAAGGCCCGUGGGACAAACACAUCAGGAGUUCAGGAAGGGGUUAGUGUGACAGGAGGAGGGUGCUGCUGUUUCCACGUCAGAUGAUGCGCCUCCUCUCCAUCGUCAUCAGCAUCAUCCCCGGCGCCACCAUCGCCGGGCCUAUCACAGAAAUCUGCAUCAGCAUCCCUCAACUCUCCAUGAACCCUGAAGUGUUUGUUAGUUUGAACACGAGGUCAGGAGAUUUUUUUGGGCUAAGUUGUUUGUGUUUGAAUCCAAAAAAACAGGUUGAAUCAGAGGCCAGUCAGUCAGCUGAAAUGACUUGAGGGCUACUUGCUGGAUUGCGGCGUGAAAUCACAUAGCACUCUAUUACGUUAAACAAUAAAAAAAUAUGUGUUAUAAUAACAUAUAUUUAUAUUAAAAAAGGCAUGUUAUAUUGUAUGGAAUAAGGAUUCUCUGAACAUAACACAUUUAUUUGAUUUAAUACUAAUCCUAAAUAUUUUUUGGAUAUAUUAUACUUUUAUUUCUACACUGCAGUUAUCAUAGCGUCUAUACAAUACAGAUACACAAACGUUUGAAUAUGUAUUUUGUUAUAUAUUUAUUUUUGUUUUAAUGUAUACUUUUAUUAACUGACUGACAUGACUGACACUACAUUUUGAUAAGAAAAUCCAUUAAGUUAAGUCAUUAAGACAUUACAACAAUAAGCAACAUUUGACAAAGCAAACAGAUCUAAUAUCCAAUAUCAGUGAUAGAAAGUAAUAAAAUAGCAUAAAAAUAGUACAUAUAAUAAAUAAUAUAUUAACAUAUAUUAUAUGUACUAUAUAUGGAUAUCAAAUAUUAUAUAAUAUUUGUGUACGUACGUAUGAAUAAACAGUAUACACAUAUAAAAUUACAAAUUAAAUGUAAGAACAAUGAUGUUGAAAAUAUAUGUACAAAUAGCAAUAUGGAUAAAAAGUGCCUUGUUUAAUACCAUUUAAAGUUUUUUUUUUUAUUUUGUAGUUUUUCACAUAUCAAAAUGAUUUAAUUGAGAAUAUAAAUUAAAUUAAAUAAGCAAGCAUACAAGUCAUCUUUUAAACCCUUUCUACAUUUUUAUAGUAUAAUCAAUAUCUACAUGUACAAUAAACUAGGGAAAAUAUACACUUUUUACACAGUUUAACUGAAACAGUGUGACUUAAACCUGCUGAUCAUAACAAACAGCACUACAUAUGUUUUGUAAAUCAAUUAAUAGGCUUAAAGUAGAAAAGUUUUACUGACGGAUGAGUAUACAAAUGUACAUACAAAAAAUCUAUACAAAUACAAAUACAAAUACAAAAUCUAGCAAAACUAGAGAUAAACAACCUAAAAAAGCAAACACAAAAAUACUGGUGAAAAAAACGAAUAGCAGCGGUACAAUGACUACACUAUCGAGACCCGGCAAAAGACAAGUUCACUAUGAGGGAAUUACAUUAACAUAUUGAAAAGAAAACCCACAAAUAGAAACUUUAUACACAUGCAUAUACAUUAUUUUAAUGAAUGUAUUCAUUUUUGUUUGAU